AUUGAACGCUGGCGGCAGGCCUAACACAUGCAAGUCGAACGGUAACAGGAAGAAGCUUGCUUCUUUGCUGACGAGUGGCGAACGGGUGAGUAAUGUCUGGGAAACUGCCUGAUGGAGGGGGAUAACUACUGGAAACGGUAGCUAAUACCGCAUAACGUCGCAAGACCAAAGAGGGGGACCUUCGGGCCUCUUGCCAUCGGAUGUGCCCAGAUGGGAUUAGCUAGUAGGUGGGGUAACGGCUCACCUAGGCGACGAUCCCGAGCUGGUCUGAGAGGAUGACCAGCCCCACUGGAACUGAGCGACGGUCCAGACUCCUACGGGAGGCAGCAGUGGGGAAUAUUGCACAAUGGGCGCAAGCCUGAUGCAGCCAUGCCGCGUGUAUGAAGAAGGCCUUCGGGUUGUAAAGUACUUUCAGCGGGGAGGAAGGGAGUAAACUUAAUACCUGUGCUCAUUGACGUUACCCGCAGAAGAAGCACCGGCUAACUACGUG
rnacentral:rRNA from 1 species